ACCACAGUGGGUGUCCCCAGCUGCGUCCCGGUGUCACCGCAGUGGGUGUCCCCAGCUGCGUCCCGGUGUCACCGCAAUGGGUGUCCCGAGCUUCAUCCCGGUGUCAUCACGGUGGUGUCCCCAACUGUGUCCCAGUGUCACCAUGGUGGCUGUCCCCAACCAUGUCCCAGUGUCUCCGCGGUGGUUGUCCCCAACCAUGUCCCGGUGUCACCGCAGUGGGUGUCCCCAGCUGCGUCCCGGUGUCACCGCAGUGGGUGUCCCCAGCUGCAUCCCGGUGUCACCGCGGUGGUGUCCUCAACUGCGUCCUGGUGUCACUGCAGUGGGUGUCCCCAAACACAUCCCGGUGUCACCGCGGUGGUGUCCCUGACUGCGUCCCGGUGUCACCGCAGUGGGUGUCCCGAGCUUCAUCCCAGUGGCAUCACAGUGGUGUCCCCAACUGCGUCCUGGUGUCACCAUGGUGGCUGUGCCCAACCAUGUCACGGUGUCUCCGCGGUGGCUGUCCCCAACCACGUCCCGGUGUCACUGCAGUGGCUGUCCCCAAACGCGUCCUGGUGUCACUGCAGUGGCUGUCCCCAACCAUGUCCCGGUGUCACCGCGGUGGUGUCCCCAACCAUAUCCCGGUGUUACCGCAGUAGGUGUCCCCAAAUGCGUCCCGGUGUCACCGCGGUGGUGUCCCCAGCUGCGUCCCGGUGUCACCACGGUGGUGUCCUCAACUGCGUCCUGGUGUCACUGCAGUGGGUGUCCCCAAACACGUCCCGGUGUCACCGCGGUGGUGUCCCCGACUGCAUCCCGGUGUCACCGCAGUGGGUGUCCCCAGCCGCGUCCCCAUGUCGUUGCGGUGGCUGUACCCAACCAUGUCCCGGUGUCACCGCGGUGGUGUCCCGGACCAUGUCCCGGUGUCAUCACGGUGGGUGUCCCAAACUGCGUCCCGGAGUCACCAGGGUGCCUGUUCCCAACCACGUCCCGGUGUCACCACAGUGGGUGUCCCCAGUCUCGUCCUGGUGUCACUGCGGUGGUGUCCCUGACCGCAUCCCGGUGUCACCGUGGUGGCUGUCCCCAACCAUGUCCUGGUGUCACUGCAGUGGGUGUCCCCAGUCUCAUCCCGGUGUCACUGCAGUGGGUGUCCCCAGUCUCAUCCCGGUGUCACUGCAGUGGGUGUCCCCAGUCUCAUCCUGGUGUCACCGCGGUGGUGUCCCGGACCGCGUCCCAGUAUCACCAUGGUGGGUGUCCCCACACCCCCUGUCCUCUCGUGGUUGUGGUGAUGUCACCGUGCCAACCUCGUGCUGUUGGGCGCCUCCGUGUCACCCAAAUGGUCACCUUGUCACCCAAAACGUCACCGUGACACCACUUGCACGCCGGCUGUUGUCUCCUGGAGGUGACCGUCGCGCCGACCUCGUUGCGUUGGGUGUCGUGGUGUCACCCGAAGUGCCACCAUCCGAGGUCCACCCAUCAGCUGUGGUCUCCCGGAGGUGAACGCUGUGCUCGCGCCGACCGCGUCCCGCUGGGUGUUGUUGCGUCACCCGAACCGCCGCCGCCGCGACAGCACCGCCUGUUUCCAACCACGUUGCACCGCGGUCUUCGUGUCACCCGCAGGCCACCAUCGCUGCGUCCUCACCAUGGCUGCAGUGACACUGGGCAGUUGGGGGUCUCUGUGUCACAGCCGCGACCCGCAGCGCCGCACUGCCCCACACCAGCACCUCGUGGCCAGGAACACCAUCGCCGCAGCUGCAACCGUAGAACUUGUCGCGGUGUUGUCGCGUUGGGGGUAUCUGCAUCAGCCAAAGCACCAUGCUCGUCNNNNNNNNNNNNNNNNNNNNNNNNNNNNNNNNNNNNNNNNNNNNNNNNNNNNNNNNNNNNNNNNNNNNNNNNNNNNNNNNNNNNNNNNNNNNNNNNNNNNNNNNNNNNNNCCCAAAUCACAGCGCUCGUCGCGGUGUUGUCACGUUGAGUGUAGCUGCGCGGUCUCCCUGCACCGUCCUCCCCACGCCGCGCUCAGCGCUGUGCUUGCGCUGUCCAGGUCCACGUGGUGAGCACAGUGUCACCAUCACCACGUCCCCAAAUUUCCCCCGGUGCCGUCACCACGAAGUCCCCGUCCCCAUCCCUGUCCCCACGCCGUUCUCCGUCCGUGUCAGUGUCACCCCGGGCCAUGACCCACACCCGCUCUGGUCCCUGUCACUCUGUCGCUCUGUCGCUCUGUCACUCUGUCACCGCUGUCCCCUCGCUGUCCCCUCGUUAGUGACGCGGCGCUGUUCUCUGACAGACGUGGCCGCUGCCGCGCUCAUGAAGUUGUAAUUAGCAUCAGUAACGAGCGGCCGGGCAAAGCCUGUCCCAGGCGGCACGGGACC
rnacentral:lncRNA from 1 species